rnacentral:tRNA from 1 species
GGGGAUUUAGCUCAGUGGUAGAGCGCUUGCCAAGCAAGCACAAGGCCCUGGGUUCGGUCCCCAGCUCCAAAAAAAAAAAAAAAAAAAAAAAAGUACCCAGAGGACCUGGGUUCAGUUCCCAGCAUCCACA